GGUAGCUGUAGUGCUUGUGGUGGUUGUGGUAGCUGUAGUGGUUGUGGUAGCUGUAGUGGUUGUGGUGGUUGUGGUAGCUGAUGUGGUAGCUGUAGGGGUUCUGGUGAUUGUGGUAGCUGUAGUGGUUGUGGUUUUUGUGGUAGCUGUAGUGGUUGUGGUGGUUGUGGUAGCUGUAGUGGUUGUGGUAGCUGUAGUGGUUGUGGUAGCUGUAGGGGUUGUGGUAUCUGUAGGGGUUGUGGUGAGUGUGGUAGCUGUUAGUGCUGGUUGUGGUGGUUGUGGUAGCUGUAGCGGUUGUGGUGAUUGUGGUAGCUGUAGUGGUUGUGGUAGCUGUAGGGGUUGUGGUAGCUAGCUGUAGGGGUUGUGGUGAUUGUGGUAGCUGUAGUGGUUGUGGUAGCUGUAGUGGUUGUGAUGAUUGUGGUAGCUGUAGUGGUUGUGGUGAUUGUGGUAGCUGUAGUGGUUGUGGUAGCUGUAGUGGUUGUGGUAGCUGUAGGGGUUGUGGUGAUUGUGGUAGCUGUAGUGGUUGUGGUAGCUGUAGGGGUUGUGGUUUUUGUGGUAGCUGUAGUGGUUGUGGUGG
ensembl:lncRNA